rnacentral:rRNA from 1 species
UGAGUACGAGCUGCUACGGCAGCGAAGUGGGUGAUGUCAAGCUUCCAAGAAAAGCCCUAUACCCGUUAAGGCAUGACGGCCUGUACCCGAAACCGACACAGGUGGGGUGGUAGAGAAUACCGAGGGGCGCGAGAUAACUCUCUCUAAGGAACUCGGCAAAAUGGCCCCGUAACUUCGGGAGAAGGGGUGCCACCGCAAGGUGGUCGCAGUGAAGAGGCCCAGGCGACUGUUUACCAAAAACACAGGUCUCCGCUAAGUCGCAAGACGAUGUAUGGGGGCUGACGCCUGCCCAGUGCCGGAAGGUUAAGGAAGCUGGUCAGCGUAAGCGAAGCUGGCGACUGAAGCCCCGGUGAACGGCGGCCGUAACUAUAACGGUCCUAAGGUAGCGAAAUUCCUUGUCGGGUAAGUUCCGACCCGCACGAAAGGCGUAACGAUCUGGGCGCUGUCUCGGAGAGAGGCUCGGCGAAAUAGAAUUGUCUGUGAAGAUGCGGACUACGUGCACCCGGACAGAAAGACCCUAUGAAGCUUUACUGUAGCUUGGUAUUGUGCCCGGGCUCUGAAUGCGCAGGAUAGGUGGGAGGCUUUGAUCCAUUGCUUGUGGGUGAUGGUGAGCCACUGGUGAGAUACCACUCUUUCAGAGCUAGGGUUCUAACGGUCACCCGUUAUCCGGGGACCGGACAGUAUCAGGUGGGCAGUUUGACUGGGGUGGUCGCCUCCUAAAAGGUAACGGAGGCGCGCAAAGGUUCCCUCAGGCUGGUUGGAAAUCAGCCGACGAGUGUAAAGGCAGAAGGGAGCUUGACUGUGAGACCUACAAGUCGAACAGGGACGAAAGUCGGCCUUAGUGAUCCGACGGUUCUGAGUGGAAGGGCCGUCGCUCAACGGAUAAAAGUUACUCUAGGAUAACAGGCUGAUCUCCCCCAAGAGUUCACAUCGACGGGGAGGUUUGGCACCUCGAUGUCGGCUCAUCGCAACCUGGGGCUGAAGUCGGUCCCAAGGGUUGGGCUGUUCGCCCAUUAAAGCGGUACGCGAGCUGGGUUCAGAACGUCGUGAGACAGUUCGGUCCAUAUCCGGUGCACGCGCAGGAACAUUGAGAGGAUUUCUCCCUAGUACGAGAGGACCGGGAGGAACGCACCUCUGGUGUACCAGUUAUCGUGCCAACGGUAAACGCUGGGUAGCCAUGUGCGGAGUGGAUAACCGCUGAAAGCAUCUAAGUGGGAAGCCCACCUCAAGAUGAGUGUUCCCAUGGC